rnacentral:rRNA from 1 species
UACGUAGGGGGCAAGCGUUGUCCGGAAUUAUUGGGCGUAAAGAGCUCGUAGGCGGUCUGUCGCGUCGGAUGUGAAAACCCAGGGCUCAACCCUGGGCCUGCAUUCGAUACGGGCAGACUAGAGUUCGGUAGGGGAGACUGGAAUUCCUGGUGUAGCGGUGAAAUGCGCAGAUAUCAGGAGGAACACCGGUGGCGAAGGCGGGUCUCUGGGCCGAAACUGACGCUGAGGAGCGAAAGCGUGGGGAGCAAACAGG